CAGUAGCCGCGGUAAUACGUAGGGUGCGAGCGUUAAUCGGAAUUACUGGGCGUAAAGCGUGCGCAGGCGGUUUUGUAAGACAGGCGUGAAAUCCCCGGGCUCAACCUGGGAAUGGCGCUUGUGACUGCAAAGCUAGAGUGCGGCAGAGGGGGAUGGAAUUCCGCGUGUAGCAGUGAAAUGCGUAGAUAUGCGGAGGAACACCGAUGGCGAAGGCAAACCCCUGGGCCUGCACUGACGCUCAUGCACGAAAGCGUGGGGAGCAAACAGGAUUAGAUACCCGAGUAGUCCCUGUCUCUUAUAC
rnacentral:rRNA from 1 species